rnacentral:rRNA from 1 species
UCGGGAAUUUUGGGCAAUGGGCGAAAGCCUGACCCAGCAACGCCGCGUGAAGGAUGAAGUAUUUCGGUAUGUAAACUUCGAAAGAAUAGGAAGAAUAAAUGACGGUACUAUUUAUAAGGUCCGGCUAACUACGUGCCAGCAGCCGCGGUAAUACGUAGGGACCAAGCGUUGUUCGGAUUUACUGGGCGUAAAGGGCGCGUAGGCGGCAAUUCAAGUCACUUGUGAAAUCUCCGGGCUUAACUCGGAACGGCCAAGUGAAACUGUUAAGCUAGAGUGCAGAAGGGGCAAUCGGAAUUCUUGGUGUAGCGGUGAAAUGCGUAGAUAUCAAGAGGAACACCUGAGGUGAAGACGGGUUGCUGGGCUGACACUGACGCUGAGGCGCGAAAGCCAGGGGAGCAAACGGGAUUAGAUACCCGUGUAGUCCCUGAGCGGGCUGGCAAGGCGCAU